GGCGCCUUGCGCGCACCGGCGGACGGCUCAGUAACACGUCGGUAACCUACCCUCGGGAGGGGGAUAACCCCGGGAAACUGGGGCUAAUCCCCCAUAGGCCUGAGGUACUGGAAGGUCCUCAGGCCGAAAGGGGCUUCGGCCCGCCCGAGGAUGGGCCGGCGGCCGAUUAGGUAGUUGGUGGGGUAACGGCCCACCAAGCCGAAGAUCGGUACGGGCCAUGAGAGUGGGAGCCCGGAGAUGGACACUGAGACACGGGUCCAGGCCCUACGGGGCGCAGCAGGCGCGAAACCUCCGCAAUGCGGGAAACCGCGACGGGGGGACCCCCAGUGCCGUGGCAUCGCCACGGCUUUUCCGGAGUGUAAAGAGCUCCGGGAAUAAGGGCUGGGCAAGGCCGGUGGCAGCCGCCGCGGUAAUACCGGCGGCCCGAGUGGUGGCCGCUAUUAUUGGGCCUAAA
rnacentral:rRNA from 1 species